UACGUAGGGUCCGAGCGUUGUCCGGAAUUACUGGGCGGAAAGAGCUCGUAGGUGGUUUGUCGCGUUGUUCGUGAAAACUCACAGCUCAACUGUGGGCGUGCGGGCGAUACGGGCAGACUAGAGUACUGCAGGGGAGACUGGAAUUCCUGGUGUAGCGGUGGAAUGCGCAGAUAUCAGGAGGAACACCGGUGGCGAAGGCGGGUCUCUGGGCAGUAACUGACGCUGAGGAGCGAAAGCGUGGGGAGCGAACAGG
rnacentral:rRNA from 1 species